CUUCGUCUGCUGUUGUACGAGCAUCCUGGCUAGCGAAUGAGCUGAAUAAGGGAUCAAAUACGGUAUCAAUGUUGUUGAUCGGGCAUCCAUCCCUGCUCCUUCUGGCUGCAGUAGUGGACGCGGCAACCUGUACAGACCAUAGAUAGUCGAAUUGCCAACAAUCAUGACCUUCAGAGAUGAGACCUCUGAAGCGACCCAGACAAGGAUGUAAAUUGGUACUCUACAUGAAAUGGUGUCAUGAUGAACCAUCUCUACCUUAACACCCAGAUAGAGUCUGGCCCCAGCCCAUAGGAUCAAUUUGAAGAUCCCCAAGAUGCCUGACCUCCUGCAGAGAAGAGGAUUCUGAAGAGAUCCAGACAAAGGGAUGGCACUUUCCUUAAAAAGGACCUCCAAGGCACGUAACCUCCUGCAGAGAUGAGGAUUCUGACGACGCAAUGGUAAUUUACGCAUGAUGGUGUCAUGAUGAACCAUCUCUACCUGGACACCCAGAUGGGAGUCUUACCCCAGUCCAUAUAAUCAAUCUCAAGACCUCCAAUACACCUGACCGCCUGCAGAGAAGAGGAUUCUGAAGGGAUGGGAAUUUCAGCGUUUAGCUUAAAAAGGACCUCCAAGACGCGUAACCUCCUGCAGAGAUGAGGAUUCUGACGACGCGAUGGGAAUUUACGCAUGAUGGUAAUAUUUUGGGAGUUAGUUCUAAAUAGUGGAUUGUGUAGAAUGAAAAGGCUUUUCUUGUGCUGUAGAAAUGUAGGCUGUAGCUGGUUUGGGUAUCUUAAUCUUGCUGUGAUGGUGUAAUUUGCGUCCUACUCUGUGACUGGUGACGGAUGCCUACUGUCAUAUGCCGGCACAGAUGGAUGACGAACCUUGAUGCUGAGCAAGCUUUAACUUCUCUACUUAAAGGGAAACUUCACCCAUUUCCAUUAAGCUUUAUCGUUGGUAACCCACUAGGGAUGGGCGAUAUGGUCUAAAAUCCAUAUUGCGAUAUACAUUGCAACCUAUUGAGAUAACGAUAUAUAUCACGAUAUAUAAAUCAUAAUAGAACCAUUUCAGAACAGGUUACAUAGACUCUAAGGAAAGCCAAACUGCUAAAUGUGUAAAACAAAAGAAAGAAACUUAGUAUGUCGUUUUGAGAACAUUUAUUGUGCAAAAGUGUAAUCAUACAACAUAAUGUUGUAGCUGCAGAGACUUCAACAAAGAAAAAAAUCUUCUGUGUAAUGACGUAUACUUCUCAAUUAAAUUAAAACUGGUGUCUUGUUAAUAAAGAAACGGAUACUGUGAAUUAGGGAAAUGCGUCCAGUAUUAGGCAUGGCUAUUUUAAAUAAAGAAAAAUCUUCCAAGUUUGUGCACAGAUACUUGAUAUUAAAACAUAAAAGUGCAAAGUGAACGCAUACAAUUUUUUAAAAUGAACAUGAAAUGAGCGCAAUCACCAGCUCCUCCGUUUCGCUUUCAGCCAUAUUUGCUUAGAUGACGAUGAUGCGUUGAAGCCGGUUGCAGCUCAUGGCUCUUUAAAUUUUGCGGGUCGUGGACGAUGCGUUGCAGCCGGUUGCAGCUCGUGGCUCUUUAAAUUUCGCGGGUCGCGGAUGAUGCAAUAAGCUGGUUGCAGCUCGUGGCUCUUUUUACAUUUCGCGGGUUGCGGACGAUGC
ensembl:lncRNA